rnacentral:rRNA from 1 species
UACAGAGGUCUCAAGCGUUGUUCGGAUCCAUUGGGCGUAAAGGGUGCGUAGGCGGCGCGGUAAGUCGGGUGUGAAAUCUCGGAGCUUAACUCCGAAACUGCAUUCGAUACUGCCGUGCUUGAGGACUGGAGAGGAGACUGGAAUUUACGGUGUAGCGGUGAAAUGCGUAGAUAUCGGAAGGAAGACCAGUGGCGAAGGCGGGUCUCUGGACAGUUCCUGACGCUGAGGCACGAAGGUCAGGGGAGCAAACGGG